rnacentral:rRNA from 1 species
UGGAUCCAGACUUUGAUCAUGGCUCAGGAUGUACGCUGGCGGCGUGCCUAACACAUGCAAGUCGAGCGAUCUUCUUCGGAAGAGAGCGGCGGACGGGUGAGUAACGCGUGGGUAACCUGCCCUGUACACACGGAUAACAUACCGAAAGGUAUGCUAAUACGAGAUAAUAUGCUUUUGUCGCAUGGUAGAAGUAUCAAAGCUCCGGCGGUACAGGAUGGACCCGCGUCUGAUUAGCUAGUUGGUAAGGUAACGGCUUACCAAGGCGACGAUCAGUAGCCGACCUGAGAGGGUGAUCGGCCACAUUGGAACUGAGACACGGUCCAAACUCCUACGGGAGGCAGCAGUGGGGAAUAUUGCACAAUGGGCGAAAGCCUGAUGCAGCAACGCCGCGUGAGCGAUGAAGGCCCUCGGGUCGUANAGCUCUGUCCUCAAGGAAGAUAAUGACGGUACUUGAGGAGGGAGCCCCGGCUAACUACGUGCCAGCAGCCGCGGUAAUACGUAGGGGGCUAGCGUUAUCCGGAAUUACU